ensembl:lncRNA
GGGGUUUAGAGUUUUGUUUAGGAAUGUGUUAUGCUUACAUUUGUUCUUUUUACUCUGGUUUCCCGCUGAAGCGUUGUGUCUCCACCCUUGUAUUGUCACACACACACGGCUGCGGCGGUUCUCAACGAUGUGUGUGGACAGAAGAGGAAAUGAGAAUGAAUUAUCUGACAGCGUUUCUCUCAACGCAGCCAAAGGCAAUGCAUCUCAAUGCGCAGCGCUCUCAGGCCGUGUUUGGACAGCGAGUGUGUCUUGGAAGCGUCGCCCCCGUUUCAUGUUCAAAGUCCUCCAUUGCUCAUAUUCACAGUGUUGAAGGAGCCGUGUUGGCCGUAGAUGAACGACCGGUGAUCAUCUGCUAUAUGUAUUAUGGUCUUUGAGGAAUUUAAUCAAGUGAUUAUCGCCAGCGAAAAUGAAAGAACAUCAAUCCCAACAAUGAAUACAUUUUUUGCAUGUUUUCAUCUUUUUAAUAAAGUUUAAAGAAUAAAGUUACUGCUUUGUUUG